ACUGAACGCUGGCGGAAUGCUUUACACAUGCAAGUCGAACGGCAGCACGGGUGCUUGCACCUGGUGGCGAGUGGCGAACGGGUGAGUAACAUAUCGGAACGUAUCCAAUAAUGGGGGAUAACUAAUCGAAAGGUUGGCUAAUACCGCAUACGCCCUACGGGGGAAAGCUAGGGACCUUCGGGCCUGGCGUUAAUGGAGCGGCCGAUAUCUGAUUAGCUAGUUGGUGGGGUAAUGGCCUACCAAGGCGACGAUCAGUAGCUGGUCUGAGAGGACGACCAGCCACACUGGAACUGAGACACGGUCCAGACUCCUACGGGAGGCAGCAGUGGGGAAUUUUGGACAAUGGGCGCAAGCCUGAUCCAGCCAUUCCGCGUGAGUGAAGAAGGCCUUCGGGUUGUAAAGCUCUUUCGCAAGGGAAGAAAACUUAUCCUCUAACAUAGGAUGAGGUUGACGGCACCUUGAUAAGAAGCACCGGCUAACUACAUGCCAGCAGCCGCGGUAACAC
rnacentral:rRNA from 1 species